CCCAGAAAAAGAGUUGGAAGGCAGGAACAGAUCCACCAAACCCUCUGACUGUUCCCCCUAAAGCAGAGAAGCUCCAAGGUGAAUGUGAAAAAUGCAAAGCAGGGGAGAAGGAAAAUAGCUGCUGUGGAAGGAAAUAACUUCUUGAAAAGUGACAGAACCAGAAGCCUUGGGGUUUUGUUUUGUUUUUUUGGUGUGUGGGGUUUUUCCCCCCUUGCAUGUGUGCUUCUUGCUUGCUUUCUCUACCCCCACCGUUCUAAACAACCCUGCUGUUCUGUCUCCAAAGGAUUUCUGAGUUGAGGCUGGCAGCUGGCUAGGAAGAGAAGGAAAAGUCGGCGUUUAUGCACACCAGACGCACCAGCGCAAAGAGACUCCAGCUGCGGCCGGGAGAAGCGCUUCGGAAAGGGCAUCUGAGUGACCUUUGGAGGCCUGAAGACCGCCACCUUCCAGCAAGAAGUGGCAGGGAAUUAGUCAGCUGGGGGAGACCGAUUCGCCAGGUGCCCAAAGGAGGCUCCGCUGGCGAGGAUCGCACCUGGCCCGGGGGCAGAGGUGGGCGGCAGGAGCCACGUGCAGACGUCCACCUGCUCGACCUCCCCCCAGAGGACCUCUUCUCCCUCGGGGCGAGGCGAAGGAGGGAGGCCCAGGUCAGCAGAGGGAGCGUCCUCCACCGCAGAGAGCCACAAAAACUUCUGGAAUCUGCAUCUGUGUGUCGUCCCCAGACCGUUUCCGAUGUCCUUCAAAGUCUGGAUCCCCAGGGAGUGAGAAGAUGGGUUUUGGUAGCAAAGCUGCCCUGGUUUGGCAGAAUGCAGAAAGCGGAAUGAGAUUUCGCAGGGCGGUUGGUGGUCAGAAGGAGGAUUAACCCAAAGUCGGGUGUGGAGGUUUUCUGGAGUUGCCGCUGAAUUAUUUUUGGACUUUCCUGGAUGAGAUGGGCCCUUUGAGGUGAUUUGUGUUCCCACCCCCCACCCCACCCCUUGUGUUUUUGUGGGUUGUUGUUUGUUUUUGCAAGGAUGACUGGCCUUGUGGGUUUUGAUUCUUUCGGAGAUCUCUGCUUUCUCGGGGACGCUUUUUGACGGAUGAUUUUCGGAGAGACUGGACUGCGAAGGUAAGAGGACGGGGGCUCUUCCCAUUGUUUUCCGGGCUGUUAAGGCAGGGUAUAAUCCUGCUUUCCGGGGGAGGUGGAAAUGUGAGGACAUGCAGAGUUUGAGGACAACUUGCUGCGAUCAUUUUAACAACCAGAUCAAGAGGAGAAGUGUCUUAAAUAUGGGAGGGUGACGGAAGAUGUGUACAUUUCCUUCUUUCCCCCCAGUGCCAUCUCAAAUCAGAUCUGUCCCUGCAGCAAAAUGAGGUGGUCGGAUCCUGAUGAAGUAGAAUGGCUUUAUACCCCUUCAGGCUGCAUGGAGUGGUGGGGGACAUAGGAAAUUAUACAUUGGUUUAUUUACUCUCCGGUGUUUCACACAGGGGGGUAAUUUGCAGUCCCCCCUAGAGAUGACAAGGAUUGAAUCCUGGCAUCCAAAAUAGUUUCCCUACCCUUGGGCUCCAUCCCUUCUCCAGCCACAGUUUUGAGCAUUCCCCCAUAUUAAAAUGAAAGCCAAGCAAAAUGCCCCGCAAGCAGAAAUCUAGCACAGCAUGCAGAGGGCAAGGUUUUUCUCCUUGCGGUCAAACAAGGAGCUUUUUUUUUCUUUUCCAUUUUACAUGUCAGGAAGCAUUUGAGCAUUUCCCCCCCCCCUUGCAACCUUGAAAGCAGCACAGUCCACUACUCCCGUCCUCCUCAGGGCCAUGCUUUUGGGCAAAGUGGAAAUUCUACUUUUUGAACACAGGACCGGAGUCGGGAAUUUAUUUCUGGGUGGCUUAAUGUAGCCUACGGUGAACGAACUUUACAAAUUUGGGUGGCUCUCAGAUGCUGGAUAGAGAAUAGUUUUCAUAUCCCUUGUUAGAGGGGUAGGGCAGUGCCAAAUACUCAACUAAUUGGGACUAAGAAUUUAUCCCUAGAUUUAAAUAUUUGGUUUUUUUAGGUUAGGGGGAUACCAAGAACACUGAUAUACCAACUGCUUCAUUCACUAAUUAAUGAAUAGCAUAUCUCCCCAGUGUUGACAGGGAUGUGCAAAGUUAAAAUCCCCAGGGAAGAAUUUUGCACGUGAAAUAACGGCUCGACGCACAUGUUUCAACAGUGCGUAAACCAGAAACCUCUGCUUUCUCACUGUAGAGUUAUUGCAGGGCAGGGAAAUGAGGGCAGGGCAUAUUCCUCCGUUUUCACGAAUACAUAAAUGAGUAUCAGAGCAGCUGCUCGCAUCAACUAUGAACUCGUUUCCAGAACUGCCCAACUUCUACUUACGGGAGCAAAACUGCAUAGCCGACUAUCGCAAACUCGGAAUUUAUUUAUUUAGCGAAAUCUAGCUUUGGGAUACAGUGUGAUUUCCUCACUUGCUGGCGACAAAAGCAUGAAGCUUGCACCUUGUAAUCGGUAUGCCUAGGUGCACAUUUAGAAAUACCGUAUUUUUUGCUCUAUAAGACUCACUUUUUCCCUCCUAAAAAGUAAGGGGAAAUGUGUGUGCGUCUUAUGGAGCGAAUGCAGGCUGCGCAGCUAUCCCAGAAGCCAGAACAGCAAGAGGGAUUGCUGCUUGCGCAGCGAUCCCUCUUGCUGUUCUGGCUUCUGAGAUUCAGAAUAUUUUUUUCCUUGUUUUCCUCCUCCAAAAACUAGGUGCGUCUUGUGGUCUGGUGCGUCUUAUAGAGCGAAAAAUACGGUAAUUGCAAAGGUUUAUAUAGAGAUGCGUUUCAUCUCCUGGAAUGGGGAAGACUGACAAGGCGAUUUGUGUUCUGCAUCUGUAAGCUGCCUUGAGUCUUUGUCUGGGAAACAGUCAAGGUAUAAAUAAAUAUAUCAUCAUCAAUAUCACAAUCUGUUGUUGAUGUGCUCACUGUAGAUGGGAAGCAUGGAAGUAUUUUCAGAUCUGCCUUCUUGGCAUUCUUUGGCAGUGUUCAGACCAGUGCCGGAUUUACGUAUAAGCUAAACAAGCUAUAGCUUAGGGCCCCACUCUCUUGGGGGCCCCCCAAAAAAUUAAAGGAAAAGUAAACACUGGAUGUACAUUUCCAAAAUAUAAGAUAAAAAACAGACCAAUAAUAUAAGACCUACAUACAGCAACAGCGCUUUGUGUUGUGUAGGCUCCUAUGAUGUAAGUCAUGGGCCCCGCCUGCUCCCUAAAAUAUCACUGGUUUGCUCCUUUCUAUAUAUAGGGUGCCUACAUUCUGCAUGGACUGGUUGCAACAUGGGCAAAUGGCUUGAGAUACCUAUGAGGUCCAUAAAUGACCAUAUAGCAUAUAUUCAACACAAAAAAACAGCGACAAUUUGUUGUGGACAAAGGACAGCUGGACAUAGAAAGGGCCCCAUUACCUUCAGUAGGGCCUCAUCAAACCUAAAACCAGCCCUGGUUCAGACUAUACAUUUAAAUACAUACGAUUGGAUCCUGACGUUUACCCACAACAGAGCUACCUUUCCCAGCACCCAGAGCAAACUACAGUUCCCAGGAUUCCUUGGGGGGGGGAAAGUCACGUGUCCUUAUGUGUGUCUGCAGACUUUUGUCUCUAAACUAGGCUUGGGCUGGACAGCCCCCCAGACAGAGAGCAGACCCUCCAAGCCUCUCUGUUUUCCAGGGAUAGUCCCGGAUUUACGGAAGCCAUCCUAGUUUCUGAUCUGAUCCCGGAACGUCCCGCUUUUCCUUAGGGCAUCCCUAUUUUCAUCGGAAAAAUGUUGGAGGGCAAGGAGUUAUGUGACUGCCCCCCGCAAGCCAAGGUGAUAAGUCACAAUGCAACCUUUAGAAGACAUCUGGAUAGGGAGGUUUCUUAAUGUUCUGUUUUCUUAUGUUUUUACCUAUGUUGGGAGCUGCCCAGAAUGGCUGGGGAAACCAGUCAGAUGGGCGGGGCAUAAAUAAUGAAAGUGUUGUUGCUGUUGUUCUUCUUCUUCUUCUUCUUCUUCUGCUUCUGCUUCUGCUUCUGCUUCUUGUUAUUAUUAUUAUUAUUAUUAUUGAUGUUCUAGUCAGACGAGCGAACUGCUAGGUUGGCAGGAGCUGGGACUGAGCAACGGGAGCUCACCCCGUCGUGGGGAUUUGAGCCGCCGACCUUCUGACUGGCAAGCCCUAGGCUCAGUGGUUUAACCCACAGCGCCACCCGCAUCCCUAAAGGUAAAGGGACCAUUGACCAUUAGGUUCAGUUGUGGACGACUCUGGGGUUGCAGCGCUCAUCUCGCUUUACUGGCCGAGGGAGCCGGUGUACAGCUUCCGGGUCAUGUGGCCAGCAUGACUAAGCCACUUCUGGCGAACCAGACCAGCGCACAGAAACGUCGUUUACCUUCCCGCCGGAGCGGUACCUAUUUCUCUACUUGUGCUGGUGUGCUUUCGAACUGCUAGGUUGGCAGGAGCUGGUACAGAACAACGGGAGCUCACCCGGUUGCGGGGAUUCGAACCGCCAACCUCCUGAUCGGCAAGCCCUAGGCUCUGUGAUUCUGUGAUCCUGAACUCAGCUUCAAGGUUCCAUCUCUCUCUCUCUAUAGAUCACUCUCUUGUUUAGGCUUCCUCAAAUACCUCUGGCCGCUUGCUCUUUCGAGACGCUGCCAGGCGCCGUGGAGUGUCUUAAGUCAUAUAAAUUUUUACUGUAUUGCAAUCUCAAGUGCCUUCUGGAGAAGCGAAGGACCGCUGCCAAGCCGCUUCACGAGAAAACUUUGUUUAGGGAAGCAUGUUAUUCCAAGGCCCUGCUCCUCCCCUCCCGGUUCUGCAGGCUGUGGCCGCAUUUCCCCCCAAGCGCGCAUGCUUUCCUUGACUGAGAUGGUUGUUCCUGAACCAUGCGCUGACUGGUGGCUGGUGCUCCUUGCGACUGGACCCAGAGCCAAGGACAAGGCAGCGCCAAGCCAUUCUACUUUGGUCUCGCUCCUCUUCCCUCCUGAGUUCUACAGGAGCAGCCUUGGGUCUUGAGGAGCAGGAGGAAGGUGGAAGGAAGCAUCUCCCUCUAGUUUGGCUGAAAGUAACAAAGGUCCGUAUAGUUAAAGCUUUGGUUUCCCCAGUAGUGAUGUAUGGAAGUGAGAGCUGGACCAUAAAGAAGGCUGAUCGCCGAAGAAUGGGUGCUUUUGAAUUCUGGUGCUGGAGGAGGAGACUCUUGAGAGUCCCAUGGACUGCAAGAAGAUCAAACCUCUCCAUUCUGAAGGAAAUCAGCCCCGAGAGCUAACUGGAAGGACAGAUCUUGAAGCUGAGGCUCCAAGACUUUGGCCACCUCAGGAGAAGAGAAGACUCCCUGGAAAAGACCCUGAUGUUGGGAAAGAUGGAGGGCACAAGGAGAAGGGGACGACAGAGGACGAGAUGGUGGGACAGUGUUCUCAAACCUACCAGCAUGAGUUUGACCAAACUGCAGGAGGCAGUGGAAGACAGGAGUGCCUGGCAUGCUCUGGUCCAGGGGGUCAUGAAGAGUUGGAAACGACUAAACAACAACAACAAAGGAUCUAGUGGCUGGCUGAGGGCAUACAUAGAACCUCCAUUGGCUCCCAGGACGUUUCCGAGCACAAUUCAAAGUGUUGGUGCUGACCUUUCAAGCCCUAAAUGGCCCAGUAGACCUGAAGGAGCGUCUCCACCCCCAUCGUUCAGCCCGGACACUGAGGUCCAGCUCCAAGGGUCUUCUGGCGGUUCCCUCCCUGCGAAAAGUGAGGUUACAGGGAACCAGGCAGAGGGCCUUCUCGGUGGUGGCGCCCUCCCAUCAGUUGUCAAGGAAAUAAACAACUAUCUGACUUUCAGAAGACAUCUGAAGGCGGACCUGUUUAGGGAAGUUUCUAAUGUUUGAUGUGCUUUUAAUAUCCUGUUGGAAGCCGCCCAGAGUGGCUGGGGAGACCCAGCCAGAGGGGCGAGGUAUAAGUAAUAAAUUAUUAUUAUUAUUGAGUGUUUGGGGCACACUGAGCCAAUUCUGUUUCAGGGACUAAGUACCAGUUGUCAACUUGUGGGGCAAUGUCUGGAGAAUCGAGAAGUUGUCUACCUUUGCCUUGCCGAAAAGGGAUCCGUGAGCUACCUGUUCAAUGAAUACUCCUUCCUGCUGUGGCUACCUUUUGUGGGAGGUAUUUAAACAGCGUCUGGUUGUUCGUCUGUCGGGGAAGCUGUGCAUUCAUGAAGGGAUUUCUGCUCGACCUGUCUUCCUCACAGCUGUUUCUGUUCUGCUGCGAUUCGGUUCCGCCAAAUGCCACAUUCCUCUGUGGCAUCCCCUGCCUGCUAUUUAAUGCAACCUCGCCGAUUGUUUGCAUAUGUUACCCUAAGCUGUGAAUUCCAUGGAACCAAGGGCAUAAUUAUUUCUACCCCCUCCGCUGAAAUGCAAAGGAAGCGCGAUUUAAACGGGGGAAAGUAAUCAGUUACAGGCAGAAAACAACAGCAGCGAACUUCUAAACAUCUCCAGCGCUGCACCCUUUUCUUGCAGGGCUCCAACCCUUUUCCAAAUCUUUUCCAAACUCUUCAAUGUCCUUUUUGAGCGACGGUGCAUUGUAAAGGGUUGGACUAGAUGACCGCAAGGGGGACCUCCAACUUUACAGUUCUAUGAUUCUCUGUGUCCUAACACUAGAACCCAUGGAAAUCCAAUGAAGCUGGACACCGGAAGAUUCAGGACAGACAAAGUCCUACUUCACAGAGCAUGUUAAGUGUAAGAGAACAUGUAAGACUAAGAGUACCGUAUUUUUUGCUCUGUAAGACUCACUUUUUCCCUCCUAAAAAGUAAGGGGAAAUGUGUGUGCGUCUUAUGGAGCGAAUGCAGGCUGCACAGCUAUCCCAGAAGCCAGAACAGCUUUCACUGCGCAGCGAUCCCUCUUGCUGUUCUGGCUUCUGAGAUUCAGAACAUUUUUUUUCUUGUUUUCCUCCUCCAAAAACUAGGUGCGUCUUGUGGUCUAGUGCGUCUUGUAGAGCGAAAAAUACGGGUAUGCGCUCUCUCUGGCGCAAGGAUUCAUAUCCUAAACCUGUGCCAAAAUAAGCACCCCUCUCCCUUAAUGCAAAUUGAGGAAAUGUGCGCAGCGCUUCUUAUUUUGCAUAAUUCUGGUUUUCCUAGUUGAGGCAGGUGGGAGAGCCCAUCUUCCCCCUCCCCUCCCCGGUUGCUGGAAAUCUGCAGCCGAUUUUUGCACCCACUCUUAAAACGGCUAUUGAACCUCUUUCCUGCUUCUGGAAAUCCCAGUCUAGCGACAAGGCAGUACGAGUCGCCGUUGAGGCAGACGGGCUGUGGGACUCCUUCUUCUCCCUUGUUAACUGGGAGAGGCAAGCGGUGAUAUAUAAAGCGUUAUAGGCACAUCCUCUGAAUGGCUCUCGCGCACAUGGACUGAAUAUUUCCCAGAACCUCUCUCUCUCUCUCUCUCUCUCUCUCUCUCCUUAAGUAAAGCAAGCUGAGAUUCUCAGGAAGUUGAGUUGUGGGGUCAAAGCUGCUUUCUGUGAUUUUUACGGCGCUCCUGGAGAAUUGCAGCAUCUAAACGCAGCCCUGAAUUAGACGGAUUUCCUGCUCUGUUGAAGUAAGGUG